rnacentral:rRNA from 1 species
ACUACGGGAGGCAGCAGUGAGGAAUAUUGGUCAAUGGACGAGAGUCUGAACCAGCCAAGUAGCGUGAAGGAUGACUGCCCUAUGGGUUGUAAACUUCUUUUAUAUGGGAAUAAAACGUUCCACGUGUGGGAUUUUGUAUGUACCAUAUGAAUAAGGAUCGGCUAACUCCGUCCCAGCAGCCGCGGUAAUACGGAGGAUCCGAGCGUUAUCCGGAUUGAUUGGGUUUAAAGGGACCGUAGGUGGAUUGUUAAGUCAGUUGUGAAAGUUUGCGGCUCAACCGUAAAAUUGCAGUUGAAACUGGCAGUCUUGAGUACAGUAGAGGUGGGCGGAAUUCGUGGUGUAGCGGUGAAAUGCUUAGAUAUCACGAAGAACUCCGAUUGCGAAGGCAGCUCACUGGACUGCAACUGACACUGAGGCUCGAAAGUGUGGGUAUCAAACAGGAUUAGAUACCCUUGUAGUG